AUUGAACGCUGGCGGCAGGCCUAACACAUGCAAGUCGAACGGUAACAGGAAGACGCUUGCUUCUUUGCUGACGAGUGGCGGACGGGUGAGUAAUGUCUGGGAAACUGCCUGAUGGAGGGGGAUAACUACUGGAAACGGUAGCUAAUACCGCAUAACGUCGCAAGACCAAAGAGGGGGACCUUCGGGCCUCUUGCCAUCGGAUGUGCCCAGAUGGGAUUAGCUAGUAGGUGGGGUAACGGCUCACCUAGGCGACGAUCCCUAGCUGGUCUGAGAGGAUGACCAGCCACACUGGAACUGAGACACGGUCCAGACUCCUACGGGAGGCAGCAGUGGGGAAUAUUGCACAACGGGCGCAAGCCUGAUGCAGCCAUGCCGCGUGUAUGAAGAAGGCCUUCGGGUUGUAAAGUACUUUCAGCGGGGAGGAAGGGAGUAAAGUUAAUACCUUUGCUCAUUGACGUUACCCGCAGAAGAAGCACCGGCUAACUCCGUG
rnacentral:rRNA from 1 species